rnacentral:rRNA from 1 species
CCUACGGGCGGCUGCAGUAAGGAAUAUUGGUCAAUGGAGGAAACUCUGAACCAGCCAUCCCGCGUGAAGGAUGAAGGGGCUCUGCCUUGUAAACUUCUUUUGUCUGGGGCGAAAAAGCUCGAUUUAUCGAGAACUGACGGUACCAGAAGAAUAAGCACCGGCUAACUCCGUGCCAGCAGCCGCGGUAAUACGGAGGGUGCAGGCGUUAUCCGGAAUAAAGGGGUUGAAAGGGGCUGUGGGAGGCAUGGGUGAAAGGCUGUGGCUUAACCAUGGAAUUGCCAUUGAUACUGCAGAGCUUGAGUGAGGUUGAGGUUGGCGGAAUGUGACAUGUAGCGGUGAAAUGCUUAGAGAUGUCAUGGAACACCGAUUGCGAAGGCAGCUGACUGGACCUAUAUUGACGCUGAGGCACGAAAGCGUGGGGAGCGAACAGGAUUAGAUACCCCUGUAGUC